UUCUCGGACAAAUAGGACUCUGGAUUUUAUUUCAAGACCUGUCAAGACUACAACUGCAGGAAUAUCACUUAUCUGCCUGUGUGUUGUUUAGGUGUUAAUAUCAUAA